GUAGGUGGCAAGCGUUGUCCGGAAUUAUUGGGCGUAAAGCGCGCGCAGGCGGUUCUUUAAGUCUGAUGUGAAAGCCCACGGCUCAACCGUGGAGGGUCAUUGGAAACUGGAGAACUUGAGUACAGAAGAGGAAAGCGGAAUUCCACGUGUAGCGGUGAAAUGCGUAGAGAUGUGGAGGAACACCAGUGGCGAAGGCGGCUUUCUGGUCUGUAACUGACGCUGAGGCGCGAAAGCGUGGGGAGCAAACAGGGUUAGAUACCCUGGUAGUCCACGCCGUAAACGAUGAGUGCUAAGUGUUAGGGGGUUUCCGCCCCCUUAGUGCUGCGGCUAACGCAUUAAGCACUCCGCCUGGGGAGUACGGCCGCAAGGCUG
rnacentral:rRNA from 1 species